AAUUACCACCGAGCGGCGG
rnacentral:snRNA from 1 species